GAUGAACGCUAGCUACAGGCUUAACACAUGCAAGUCGAGGGGCAGCAUUGGAGUAGCAAUACUUCAGAUGGCGACCGGCGCACGGGUGAGUAACGCGUAUUCAACCUGCCGCUUACUCGGGGAUAGCCUUUCGAAAGAAAGAUUAAUACCCGAUGGUAUAAAGAGUUCGCAUGUUCUCUUUAUUAAAGAAUUUCGGUAAGCGAUGGGGAUGCGUUCCAUUAGAUAGUUGGCGGGGUAACGGCCCACCAAGUCUACGAUGGAUAGGGGAUCUGAGACGAAGGUCCCCCACAUUGGAACUAGGACACGGUCCAAACUCUGACGGGAGGCAGCAGUGAGGAAUAUUGGUCAAUGGACGCGAGUCUGAACCAGCCAAGUAGCGUGAAGUAUGACUGCCCUAUGGGUUGUAAACUUCUUUUAUAAGGGAAUAAAGUGAGGGACGUGUCCCUUUUUGUAUGUACCUUAUGAACAAGGAUCGGCCAACUCCGUGCCAGCCGCCGCGGUAAGAC
rnacentral:rRNA from 1 species